rnacentral:lncRNA from 1 species
GGGCCGGAAAGGAACUUAACCCAUCGUUGCUGGGGGCUGUCGCUCCUUACCGGGCCGUCGCGCCUUACAAAGAGGAAUGAUUGUUGGUUUUUUUUUUUUUUAAUGAAUGGAGGGCGGCGGCAAGCAGCAGCUGCAGCUGGAUCAGCUGCGCGUGCUGUACCCCACCCGGCCUGGGAAAGAAGGGGAACCUGGCAGAGCUGGAUGUCCCUGCCUGUUGUUGUGGCUGUUACUGAUGGAUGAUGCAGAUGAUGAAGAUUUCACUUCAAGUCUCAACACGGUGUUCCAGCAUGGGAUGCAGCAAGGGUUUGGCAGCAGGGCCAGAGUAGCUGUUCUAACAGGUGGUGGCAGAAGUAACCAGACCCAGAGUCCCUGAUCAUCGCAUUGGAACUCCCCGGUUGAUCCUUUGAUAUCAGACUACAAGAGGACAAAACAGUGACACAGGACACUUCCUGUCCCAAAUGGGACCAUGAUAUAGGACACCUGAAACAACAAGCAGACAAAAAGUUUAACAGAGCUGCUUCAAGAACGCUGGGCCACUGGCUGCCCCGUGAUCUUCAGGAACUCUAUUUUGUCCUAAUCCAAAAGCUUUUCAGGAGGAGGGGGAUGAGCAGAACCAGGAGACAGAUCCUGAAGGAAGUCCAGAUGUGUGAAUGAGUCUUAGUGCCAAGGUCUUGGGCCUUAAAGGAACAUAAGCAUCUCCAGGUAUGUAUGAAAGGAAAUGAGAAUGGAAAUGGUGGUUCCAAGAACUAAUGAGCUUGGACUUUUCCAGGUUUCCAUCACUCACUGCCAUUGAAGAUAGUUUUAUUGUUGUCAUUUUUCAGUUGUGUCCAACUCUUUCAUUUCCCCAUUUGUGGUUUUCUUGGCAAAGAGCCAAUGGAGUAGUUUGAUAUUUCCUCCUCCAGUUAAUUUUACAGAUGAGGAAACUGAGGCAGACAGGUUUAAGUGAGUUGCCUAGGGUCACACAGUAAGUGUUUGGAUGAGGCUGGAUUUGAACUCUGUGCCACCUAGCUGCCCAUGGAGAUAUCACUUACACCAUAUGAGCUGAGUAGGAAGAUCUGGUAAAAGGUCCAUCUGGCUGAGAUUUUGAGCCUUUCCCAGAUGCUAGAUUUGUUUAGCAGACCCCGGGUGGGUGGAUAAGGGGAAUAACUUCUUAUGAGAAAAGAUACUUGGAAAUGAGGACCUAACUUGCCAGAGAAAAAUCAAGCAGAGGUGCAUUUUUUUUUAAACCCUUACCUUCCAUCUUGGAGUCAAUACUGUGCAUUGGUUCCAAGGCAGAAGAAUGGUAAAGGCUAGGCAAUGGGGGUCAAGUGACUUGCCCAGGGUCACACAGCUGGGAAGUGUCUGAGGCCAGAUUUGAACCUAGGACCUCCCAU